rnacentral:rRNA from 1 species
ACGGAGGGGGCUAGCGUUGUUCGGAAUUACUGGGCGUAAAGCGCACGUAGGCGGCUUUGUAAGUUAGAGGUGAAAGCCCGGAGCUCAACUCCGGAACUGCCUUUAAGACUGCAUCGCUUGAACGUCGGAGAGGUAAGUGGAAUUCCGAGUGUAGAGGUGAAAUUCGUAGAUAUUCGGAAGAACACCAGUGGCGAAAGCGGCUUCCUGGUCCAGCACCGACGUUCAGGCACGAAAGUGUGGGGAGCAAACAGGA